rnacentral:lncRNA from 1 species
UGGCGCUGAGGUAAGUAGACCCAGGCGGGCCCACUCCCCUCCACCCACCCCUCCUCGCUACCUGUACACUUGGGCGGGUUGGGGUCAGCUCUAAUUUUAGGUCCCCACCCACUCCGAGGGAGGGCUACCUAGACGGAGCCAGGAGACUUGGGGUAAAUUUUGGACCCCACACUCGGACAAACUUGGGAGAGGUCAUAGGAGGGACUGGACUAGAGAGAAAUGGGGAGACCCCAAGUGUCUGAGGGGCUGGGUGGGCUGAGGUGCUCAGCCUAGCCGAGAUCUGACUCAGCUUUCAACUUUGUGUGAAGGAUUCAGAAAUCCAGAGGUCUCUGAGGGCAGGAGCUCAGAUUUUGGGGGGGCUGGGGUGGGGUUGGGGGCACAGCCCAGCCCUGUUUGUAGAAGGCAGCUCUUAGUCACCCAAAGCUGUGUGCUGAAGAGGCGGGUACCUUUUAGUCUUGGUGUUGCUGCUAGAGCUGGGUGGGGAGGGGGGAGGUAGGGAGGAGUUAACUCAGUGGAGCACUUGCUUAGCCUGAGCCAGGCUCUGGGUUCAAUCCCCAGCCCUGGGGAAAAACAAUGUUGGAGACAUGUUACUGCUGGCCUCUGCUGGCUGCCUUCCUUUGAAUUUCCCUUCUUGUUCUUUGCCUUGGGAAGUUAUUUUAUUUUAUUUUAUUUUUAUUUUUUUGGUGCUGAGGAUUGAACCCAGGGCCUCAAGCAUGCUAGGCAAACACUCUACCACUAAGCCACAUCUCCAGCCUUCAAUUCUUUUAUCUGUCGAAUAGGCUUGAGACUGAAUUGUCAGUUUACACUAGUCACACUUACUCAUUAAAAAAUUUUUUAAAAUUGUAGAUGGGCACAACACCCUUAUUUUACUUAUUUAUCGGUGCUGAGGAUCGAACUCAGUGCUCCACGCAGACAAGGCAUGUGCUCCACCACUGAGCCACAACCCCAACCCACAUUUAUUCAUUUUUAAGGAAACAUUUCUGGGCUCAUCUGUAUGGUAGAACUUAAUUCCAUGACUCAGCAAUUCUAAUGAGUCAUAAAAAAGAACAUAUGCAUUUACCAAAAGCUGCACAUGAGAAUAGUCACAGCAUUCUCAUUAUACGACUAAAGUGGAACAAGCCAAGAAAAAAGCAGUAGAAAAAGAUGAGUUUUGAUGUAUUUAUCCAAUGGCACACCACACAACAAUGAGAAAGAACAACCUCAACUAUACAAGUAAUACAGAUGAAUCUUAUGAAUAUUGAAUGAAAGAAGUCAGAUGCAGAAGAAUGCAUAGUGUAUGAUUCCAUUUAUAUUAAGUUUGAAACCAGAGGAAUAAUUUGGAUUAUUAAUGCUCAGGUUAGUGUCACCUUGUGGGGCUUAGGCAGUGACUAGUGACUAGAAAGAGGGUUGAGAUGUUCCUUGAUCUGAGUGCUGGCUACAUAGAUGUGUUCAUUUUGUGUGCAUGGUUUGUGAUGUUUGCACUUUUUGAUAUGUCAUACUUAAAUAAUAAUUUUAAAAAUAAAAAAAUUGCUUUUAUUUAACCUAAAAAAAAUGUCUGCCUUUGAUCAGGUUUUGGAAAUCUCAAAUGGCUAAGCUACUACAAUCUCCACCCAAGUUUCUGCCCUCAGAGUGGCACAUCUCUAAUAAGAAUCAGUACCACAGGGCAGAGGCCCAGAGGUCCCAAUCGGAACGCCUGGUGGCAGAAAGCCAGAGGCUUGUGGAUGAAAUUGAUAAGACCACAAGGAAAUCUCAAAGUGAUGCUAACAAGAAAAUUGGUAAGACCUCCCAUAUUCAGAUGAGGCUACUGAGUUUUGUCUGUAGUGUCACAUUCAAGUGUGGCAAUGUAUCACUCUUGAAGUAUUAGGUGACAUCCUGUAUAUUCCCCAGGCUCUGUGUUUUAGCUCACUGCUCUCAGACAGACACAUAGUAACUCAGUCUGAUUUUCAGCCAUCUUCCAGCCAUCAUUGAUUUGGUACAGGUUUAGAGAUCUGUGGAUCUAUGCCCUGGGAAUGAUCAGAAUCUCUGCUUUUUAGGGGCUCCUGGUUAGAGAGGAGAAAGAUAUAAAAGUUGGUGUUCAGACUAUAACCAGAUAGGUGCUGGAAUAGGAAAAUUAAGGGAGGGAUGGGGUAGGAAUUGGAAAAUUGGGAAUGUUUUCCUAGAGAGAAAGGAAGAAUAAUUUUCUUAAGGAAGAAUAAUUUUCUCUUGACAAUUCCAUACUUAAAAUGGUAUUUAAAGAAUAGUACCCCUAAAUAAGUAAGAACAAAAAUAAAUAUAAAGCAAAACAAGCAACAUCUCCUGAACACCAAGAGAUGAUAGGCCAGAGGCUACAAUUCAAAUAUCUAUAGUGGCCAGGUAGGUAACAAAGGGGUUGGAUGUAAGACCAUAGUGAGUGGUGACAACUGAUUUUCAAACUCUAAAUUUUAAUGUCAUUGAUUCAUUGAAUAAUUUAGAAGCUUAGUCAUUUAUAGUGUCAUUAAAAAAACAUCAAGGGCUGGGGGAUGUAGCUUAGUGGUAAAGCAUGUGUUUUGUAUGUAGAAGGCCCUGGGUUUGAUCUCUAGCACUGCAAAAACACAACAAUAACAAUAACAAAAAUCUCAUGCUUAGGAAUAAAUCUAACAAAAGAUGUGCAAGAGUUCUACACUGAAAAUUACAACCCAUUAUUGUAAAAAACUAAAGUGGUUAUAAAUAAAUGCAAGGAUAUAUGAGUUAAUGGAUUAGAAGAAUCAGUAUUUUAAAGAUGCCAAUUCUCCCUACGUUAAUCUAUAAAUUCAGUGCAAUACUAAUAAAAAAAAGUCUCAGCAGAAUUUCUGGUGAAAUUGGCAAACUGUUUCUAAAUUCAUGUGGCAAUACAAAGGGUCAAGCAUAGACAUGACUAAGUUCCAGAAGAACACAGCUGGGAGACUGUGGAUUAUAAGACCUAUUCUUAUAAAGCAACGAUAAUUAAGGCAAUGAAAUAUAGGCAAGGAUAGACAAAUUGACAUAGGAACAAAUUGACAAGGAUAGACAAUGAGACAUAGUGGAGAGUUGAGAAAUAAACCUAUACGUUUAUGUUCAUCUGAUUUAUGAUAAAAGCAAUACUGUAGUGUGAUGGAAAGGGAUUGUCUUUUUUAAAAUUAAAAAAAAAUUUAGAUGUUGAUGGACUUUUAUUUUAUUCAUUUAUUUGUAUGCUGUGCUGAGAAUUGAACCCUGUGCCUCACACACACUAGGCAAGCACUGCACCACUGAGCUACAACCCCAGCCCCAGGAUCAUCUUUUCAAUAAAUUGGCCAGUUGGACAUUCACAUGAAAAAAUUAUAUCCCAAGCCCUACUUCAUAUCAUGUAUUAAAAAAUCAAAUUGAGGUGAGUGCAUAUCUAAAUGGGAAAGAUAAAUUAAUAAAACUUUUAGCAAACAUCUUAAUGACUUGGAAAAGGAAAAGAUGUCUUAUUUUUAAAAAACCAUAAAAGCAAAAAAUAAUAAAUGAGAUUAAAUUAAAGGGUACAUUUGUUUAUCAAAGAUAUAGGAAGAGCUUGUUGAACUUCAUUAGUCAUUAAGGACAUGGAAAUUAAAAACACAGUUUGAAUGUCAUUAUACACCCACAGUGACUGAACUGAAAAAGCAGAGGCAAUCCAAAAGAAAGGAAAAAGAAAAAUCUAAGCAUUAGGAAGGAUGUGGAGUUACUGGAACUCUCUUCUCGUGGAAGUAUAAAUUGUUAUGACCACUUUAUAAAGCUUUGGCAGCAUCUACCAAAGUUGGACAUGUAUAACCUUUCACCUUGCCAUUCCAUUUUGAGGUACCAGAAUCCAUCCAUCCAUCCAUCCAUCCAUCCAUCCAUCCAUCCAUCCAUCCAUCCUUUCCUUUAUUUGUUCAUCUGUUAAAGAGGUCCAUCACAUGCUAGAUUUACCAGAGUAUAAAGUUGAAGAUAGACACGUUUUAAUAAUUGUAAGAUAUAAAACACAAAAGAUAAGUUAAUACAAUUAUUCCAUGUUAGCCUGGAUUAAAGCAAUGGUUGGAAAGAUGAAGAGCAGAGGCGGUCAAUAAUUAGCAUGUUGGAUCCGUGAAUUAAUUUUAACAAUGGAAGACAAGGACAAAAUAAUAAAGGCAAGAUGCAGGUAGCAUUUAUGGGGAAUGAGAAGAGGUCCAAGUUGUGGUACCGAGUACAGGAAGGAGAGCAGCAUGCUGGAGACGAGUGGACCUGAGUGGGAGUCAAGGCUGGACCCUGGCUGAAGGAGACCUUGAAUUUGGAAGGUUCAGUUCAGUAAGUAGCUAGUUAGAAUUUAGGAGGCAGCAUUAGAAAUCUAGAGACAUCACCUUAAGACAGGAAGUAGACUACUCAAAGAAGAUGUUGUAAGAGAAGAAAAGAGGGCAGAGAAUGAAAAGGAUUUGGGGAAGUGUUGGGGUACAAGAGCUUGGGUAGAAGAACAAAAAGAUCAAGGUCAGGAAGUACAAAAGACGGGGGCUCUGUGGGCGAGGAAGUCUUGUGUUGUAUCCAAGUCUGUCUAAAUGUCAAGGAGGCGGAGAGUUGAACAAGAAGGAAUCUGAACAGGUGACUUGAAGAUUAUUGGGGACCUUGGAGAUAACAGGUCUAACAGAGAAGGUAGUGAAGGAUGCAAGGUGGGGGUGGAAGUAAACUCCAAAGUAAGGGGGGAGACUUCCUUUUACAUGGUGGAUGGAACACAAGUGAUGGUCUCCUCUCCCUUUUCAACUUCCAACAAAUAGCAGUAAAAGAUUCAUGCAAGCUAUGUCUCCAGAACAAAGAGACAGGUGGAAGGAAACAAUAGUAGCCUAGUGAUGAGAAGAAUCUGGAAGCUAGAAAGCAAUAAGUCAAGUGGUGACACACUCAGGAACUGCAAAAGGCCAGGAGGAGUAGAGGACAGUGAGAAUGUUGCUGAUUGGUGCUGCAGAAGCUCAUUCAAAGCAGUCGAUUUGCCAAGUUUCCAUGAUGUUCACGUUGGAUAGAUCCAAGUUACUUCUGAAGAUGAAGCUUCAAGAUAGAACCAGAAACCAGAUGGGUUGAAAGUCUUUAUCAAAAGCCCCUUCUCCACUCCACAGAAAGCUCAAAGCCGAAGGACUCAAUGAGAAUCUACUGCUGAAUGGUGGUUCUUCCCGCUAGCUCCCAGGACAAUGGUAAUGCAACUUCUUCCCCCAGACAGGGGAGACUGAAAGGUUUUUCUAUGGAGAAAAUAACUGGUCCAAAAAGAAAGCUCUACCAACAUUAACCUUUGCGCGUUCUCCAGUGAGAUUCCUGGACUCUGCCUGAUCAGUUUGUAUAAUAAAGCAUUCUGGUUGACAAGCACUGUCCUCCACAAGUGGAGCCCCUGGUUAGCCUUUUAGCACACCAUUCUUAAAUCAGAUAAGGACCACUGUGUUAAGUCAGCUCUUUGUCAUUGUGAUAAAAAUACCUGAUGAGAACAAAUUAGAGGAGGAAAAGUUUAUUUUGGGCUCACGAUUUCAGAGGUCUCAGUCCAUAGAUGGCCAUCUCCAUUGCUCUUGGUCUGAGGUCAGGCAGAACAUAAUGGCAGAGGGCUUGGUUUGGUGGAGGGAAGUUUUCAGCUCAUGGUAGCCCAAAAGGAGGGGAGGGAGAUAUCAUGGAGAGAGAGAGAGAGAGAUAGAUAGAUCAUGGAUUGAGAAAGAGAGAGAGAGAGAGAGAGAGAGAGAGAGGUAUCAUGGAUAUCCAGGGACAAGAUAUAAUCCCAGGACAUACCCCCCAAUGACCUCAUUCCUCUAGCUAUGCCCACCUCUUACAGUUACCACCCAGGAAUCUAUUCAAAGUAUUAGCCCAUCAAGCUGAUUAAUCCACUGAUGAGUUUACAGUUCUUAUCAUUGCCUAAAAGCCCCACCUCUGCACCUUACUGUACUGGGUACCAUGCACCUAAAACAUGUGCUUUUCAAGGGGACAUUUCCAAAUCCAAACCAUAACAAUCACUAAACAUUUAAAGAAAACCUCUAACAGAGCAGACACCAAAACAAACAGUCAAGCAGAUGGAAACUUGGGAAAUUGAUUGCAUUGAACAAAACACAAAAUACACUAUCAGCUCCUUGAGUAUCAAGAGAAGAUAUUGAGUUGAGUACAAGUUAAAGAAUGGUUACUAAGGUCUAGACAAUCAUUGUCCAAUCCAUGGAACAAGAAGAGGAAUCUUGAAAAAGAACAUUCAGUGAAAAGUUAUUGGAAAUUAAAAGCAUGAGAGCAGAAAAAAAAUAUAUUAGACAUCCAAAUAAAUGUUGAAAGAUAAAGUUGAAGAAUCCUCAGAAAGUAGAGGUAGGAAAAGGCCAGGCACGGUGCAUGCCUAUAGUCCUAACUGGUUGGGAGGCCGAGGCAGGCAGAUCCUUUGAACUUAAGAGUUCAAGACCAGCCUGGGCAAUAAACUGAGUAAAAUCCCAUCUCAAAAACAAAAACAAAAACAAAUUUGAGAACACCAAGAAAACAGAGAAAUUCCUAAAAGUUUUCAGAGUGGAGAAAACAGACUACAUAAAAAAAAAAGUCAGGAAUCAGAAUGGAUUCAGACUUCUCAACAAAAACCCUGAGAAGUAGAAGAAAAUGGAGCCAAGCCAUCAGAAUUCUCAAUGGAAAGGAUUUACAAUCUAUGAACCAGUGCAUAGUCAAAUGUCAUCAAAGGGUGAGGGUAGAAUACAUGUGGGUUUAGACUUGCAAGUUCUUAAAGAUUUUAAUCAUAGAGGCAUCCAUUUCUUAGGAAGUUGCCAAAGGAUGUGCUUCUGCAAGUUGAAAGGGUAAUUCAAGGAGGAGGAAGAAAUGCAAUCUAGGAAAUGGGAGUCCAGCUCAUGAGAAAGGUGAAGGGGAUUCCUUAGAGCAAAGUCAUAAGAUUGUAAGCGUUCAGAAUGUUAUGGCUAGAUUGCAAUAAAUCACCCAGUUGAUCUGAAAGCAGGAGACAGAACCAUCUUUAUUCACCAAAUGGCAGUCUGGAUUCAUCAGCAGGUGGGCUGUAAUGCCAGAUUCAUGGGACCCCAACAGACCUCCAGGAGCCAAAUCCAAUGCAAUCACACAAGAGUCUUUAUUGCAAGCUCGAGCUUGGACUCAGCGGCCCAGGGAGUGAGUCCUGGUCCUUUGUUUAGUGAGAUUUUAUAGGUUUUGGAGGGUUAUUCUAUGUGUCAGAACAUCACACAGCAAAUCAUUCCAUACAGAGGGAAAAUCAAACAACAACUCUUAACAUUGAUUAGCACAUUCACUGGCGGGAACAAGUUGGGUAGGGGUGAUUGGUUAGUACAAGAGGGGGAUUCCUUUGAACUGAUUGGUUUAAGCCACGAGGGGUGUACAUGCUAAACUACAUGGUUUCCCAAUAUGUUAUCAACCACCAUAAACUACUGGGGGGUCAUCUGGCAUCCCAGGUAUUUUCCCUGUCUCAUGCUGAUUGGUGGUUGCUAAGGGGUUGCUAUGGGUCCUCCCCUAGCCUAACUGAGUCAGGGACACCUGGCUCCGCAGAUCUCUCCUGUUAUUUACAGACAAACAACUCAGCAGGAUGGCUAUCUGCCUAGAAAGGCUCUGUGGGUUUUUCCAAGGACAAGGGUCACGCCCCCUUCCUCAGGACAGGCCUUGAGGUAGAAGCUGCUGUUAUUUAUUUAUUUCAAAAACGGAGUCACAUCAUUUUCUUAGGCCAAGGGGCAGGCUGCAAGUCUAUACCCUUCAAAUCCCUCUAAGGGUUAGAGUACACAUUUAUAGUCCCAAACCACAUUAAGUGUAAGUGGCUGUUGCUAUGAUUCAAGACCAUAAACAAACAUCACGAGAUCUAAAAUCAUCAGCAGAAGGGGUCAAAACGACCCUAGUUGAGUACAAGUUAAAGAAUGGUUACUAGCGUCUAGGCAAUCAUUGUCCAAGAAAAAUGGGAACCCAAAAGAGAACAAUUUCACAUUGUAUAAGAACUGCCAUUUUGUGUUGCCAAACACACUAUAAGCAACUGUUGAUGGGCAUAGAGGUGGGGUAUUGCCAUGGGAGAAGCAUUUCUUAUGGGACAUAGAGUCUCAGGGUAAAAUGGAGUCUGUUUAGUCAUUGCUCACAUAGCCUGGCCCGUAACAAAAAAAAAAUAGAGAGCCAACCAGGAGGAGAAAGGGUUCUGGGAGAGAUGCCUCCAAAGAAGAAACAAAAUGGUUUGGAACAUAUUCAGAGGAUACUUAAGGUCCUGUCAGAAAGUUUGAGAAGUUAAUAAUAAAUAAAUAGAAAGUGAAACGAUCACUACCAUAACCAUUUUGCUGUCUCUGUGUAUCCCACAGUACAGUCUAAACUUCAAAUAUACACAAUAAAAUGUACCUUAAGAAAAAUAAGAGUCAUUUUACAGAAAGGAAAAUUGAUAGUUUUACAACCAAUACUUUAUGAAUUUAUAAUUCAAAUACCAAACUGCUCAUUCUGAACUCAUUAUGUACUAUGUAGUUUUCCUAUUACAAUCAGUUAUCUUUUCCUUAAAAUGCUUAGUAAAAAAAAAAAAAAAGGAAUAUUGUAAGAAAUUUAUUAUAGCAUAGUAUACUACAUGAUUCAGGUGCAAAUGAUAUUUACAAACUUACAAAAAUAUGACUAGAAAAUAAGUCAUUAUUUAAUGAAAAGGUGAUGCAAAUAUAUUGGGAGAUGGAAGGAUCAUGUUGUUUGAGUUGGUUAAAAGCAAAUCAUGCCAGAUGUGGUGGCACAUUCCUAUAAUUCCAGCUACUCAGGGGUCUGAGACAGGAGGAUCACCAGUUUGAGGCCAGCCUGGGCAAUUUACUGAGAACCUGUCUGAAAAUAAGAAAUUAAAAGGGCUGAAGAUACACCUCAGUGGUAAAGUAUCCUGGGUUCAAUCUUCAGUAUGCUCAAAAACAAACAAGACCAAAACAACCCCCCCCCCAAAAAAAAAACUCCAAAAAACAAAACUAAGAAAAUCAUUAUCUUUCAUCAUAGGAAAUCAAUAGAUUCAAUAUUAAACUAAUAAUGUGUAAAUAUCAGUGUAAGCAAAUGUUAGAAGAAAUAAUAAAAGUGUUUAACUUGGUUGUUCCCUGAGAGUGGGAGUCUGUGGGGAUGGGUCAGAGAAUUGUAAUACUUUGUGAUACUUGUUGGACUUUUCAAGCAAUGUACAUUUAUAUCCUUGAUAAAAUUAAAAGUUAUUCCAAACAGUGGGCAUUGAAGAAUUAGUGUAGAACGAUAAAUCUGAUGUUUAACGUGGGAAGAACUGUCUUCCUUUCUGUUAAUAAACAUCUGUAACGAUAAAAAAAAAUGCUCCAAGAAGCACUAAGAAGAAUGAACAUGUCUCAGGUGGUUUCUCAAUAGUUCUCUAGGUUCGAAGUUAGUGGUUGGCUGGGGCUGGGGUGCAGCUCAGUGGCAGAGCGCUUGCCUAUCGCCUCACAUGCGUAGGCUCUGGGUUCCAUCUCUGCAAAAACAGAAAAGCUCACAGCAGAGAGAAAUAUGCAAGAGAAAUAUACUACCCACUCUAGGGGGAAAGAAGAAAGGUGAUCUUUUGGGAAUCCAUUAACCCUGGCAUAACUUCUCUGUGUGUGCUUCAGAACAGAGACUCGAGGAAGUCAGGUUCUGGAAGAAGGAGUUAGAUGACAAACUUGAGCAGCUUGUGAAUGAAACUGAUGAUCUACUCAAUUAUAAGAUACGAGUGGAAAAAUCCCUGGAGAGCUUUAAAGAGCCCUUAUUCAUCACCGAGA